CAGCCGCCGCGGUAACACGAAGGGGGCUAGCGUUGUUCGGAAUUACUGGGCGUAAAGCGCUCGUAGGCGGAUAUUUAAGUCAGGGGUGAAAUCCCAGAGCUCAACUCUGGAACUGCCUUUGAUACUGGGUAUCUUGAGUAUGGAGGAGGUGAGUGGAAUUCCGAGUGUAGAGGUGAAAUUCGUAGAUAUUCGGAGGUACACCAGUGGCGAAGGCGACUCUCUGGUCUGUAACUGACGCUGAGGAGCGAAAGCGUGGGGAGCGAUCAGGAUUAGAUACCCCCGUAGUCCCUGUCUCUUAUAC
rnacentral:rRNA from 1 species